GACGUAGGGCGCGAGCGUUGUCCGGAUUUAUUGGGCGUAAAGAGCUCGUAGGCGGCCUGUUACGUCUGCUGUGAAAUCCCGGGGCUUAACCCCGGGCGUGCAGUGGAUACGGGCAGGCUGGAGGCAGGCAGGGGAGAACGGAAUUCCCGGUGUAGCGGUGAAAUGCGCAGAUAUCGGGAGGAACACCGGUGGCGAAGGCGGUUCUCUGGGCCUGUACUGACGCUGAGGAGCGAAAGCGUGGGGAGCGAACAGGAUAGAU
rnacentral:rRNA from 1 species